AGCAUCGCCAUCCAGUUUGCUGCUACUCUUUGCUUCACCACAUAGCCAUCAAUCCAGGAGGGGUGGACAAAGCCAUUGACAUCAAUCUGGUUAUCAUAGCUUCUCCAGAAGUGAUGUGUACAUCAGCCCUGCUUGCUUCUCUGUAUCCAGUGAGCUGUUACAGCUUCCUACUGGCUGAAACCCAUCUGACGGAACAAAUAUCUGACACCUGGCACAUUGUUAAAGCUACAAAAUUGCUUCUAUAGAUCCAGCUUAGCAAUGAGUAUAGUUUAAUGAGCCAUAGAAUACUGCAUUGUAUGACAUUAAAAUGCAUCUGUUUACAUUUUA